rnacentral:rRNA from 1 species
UAGCUAGUUGGUGAGGUAAAGGCUUACCAAGGCGACGAUCUGUAGCGGGUCUGAGAGGAUGAUCCGCCACACUGGAACUGAGGCACGGUCCAGACUCCUACGGGAGGCAGCAGUGGGGAAUUUUGGACAAUGGGGGCAACCCUGAUCCAGCCAUGCCGCGUGAGUGAAGAAGGCCUUCGGGUUGUAAAGCUCUUUCGGCCGGGAAGAAAUCGCAUGGGCCAAUACCCUGUGUGGAUGACGGUACCGGAAUAAGAAGCACCGGCUAACUACGUGCCAGCAGCCGCGGUAAUACGUAGGGUGCGAGCGUUAAUCGGAAUUACUGGGCGUAAAGCGUGCGCAGGCGGUUUUGUAAGACAGGCGUGAAAUCCCCGGGCUUAACCUGGGAACUGCGUUUGUGACUGCAAGGCUAGAGUACGGCAGAGGGGGGUGGAAUUCCACGUGUAGCAGUGAAAUGCGUAGAGAUGUGGAGGAACACCAAUGGCGAAGGCAGCCCCCUGGGUCGAUACUGACGCUCAUGCACGAAAGCGUGGGUAGCAAACAGGAUUAGAUACCCUGGUAGUCCACGCCCUAAACUAUGUCAACUAGGUGUUGGGUGGGUAAAACCAUUUAGUACCGUAGCUAACGCGUGAAGUUGACCGCCUGGGGAGUACGGCCGCAAGGUUAAAACUCAAAGGAAUUGACGGGGACCCGCACAAGCGGUGGAUGAUGUGGAUUAAUUCGAUGCAACGCGAAAAACCUUACCUACCCUUGACAUGCCAGGAACUUGCCAGAGAUGGCUUGGUGCCCGAAAGGGAGCCUGGACACAGGUGCUGCAUGGCUGUCGUCAGCUCGUGUCGUGAGAUGUUGGGUUAAGUCCCGCAACGAGCGCAACCCUUGUCGUUAAUUGCCAUCAUUUAGUUGGGCACUUUAACGAGACUGCCGGUGACAAACCGGAGGAAGGUGGGGAUGACGUCAAGUCCUCAUGGCCCUUAUGGGUAGGGCUUCACACGUCAUACAAUGGUUGGUACAAAGGGUUGCCAAGCCGCGAGGCGGAGCCAAUCCCAGAAAGCCGAUCGUAGUCCGGAUUGCAGGCUGCAACUCGCCUGCAUGAAGUCGGAAUCGCUAGUAAUCGUGGAUCAGCAUGUCACGGUGAAUACGUUCCCGGGUCUUGUACACACCGCCCGUCACACCACGGGAGCGGGUUCCGCCAGAAGUAGGUAGCCUAACCGCAAGGGGGGCGCUUACCACGGCGGGGUUCGUGACUGGGGUGAAGUCGUAACAAGGUAGCCGUAGGGGAACCUGCGGCUG